UGGGGAAUUUUGGACAAUGGGGGAAACCCUGAUCCAGCCAUCCCGCGUGUGCGAUGAAGGCCUUCGGGUUGUAAAGCACUUUUGGCAGGAAAGAAACGUCAUGGGUUAAUACCCCGUGAAACUGACGGUACCUGCAGAAUAAGCACCGGCUAACUACGUGCCAGCAGCCGCGGUAAUACGUAGGGUGCAAGCGUUAAUCGGAAUUACUGGGCGUAAAGCGUGCGCAGGCGGUUCGGAAAGAAAGAUGUGAAAUCCCAGAGCUUAACUUUGGAACUGCAUUUUUAACUGCCGGGCUAGAGUGUGUCAGAGGGAGGUGGAAUUCCGCGUGUAGCAGUGAAAUGCGUAGAUAUGCGGAGGAACACCGAUGGCGAAGGCAGCCUCCUGGGAUAACACUGACGCUCAUGCACGAAAGCGUGGGGAGCAAACA
rnacentral:rRNA from 1 species